rnacentral:rRNA from 1 species
GGCCUGAGAGGGUGAUCGGACACACUGGAACUGAGACACGGUCCAGACUCCUACGGGAGGCAGCAGUAGGGAAUAUUGCUCAAUGGGGGAAACCCUGAAGCAGCAACGCCGCGUGGAGGAUGAAGGUUUUAGGAUUGUAAACUCCUUUUGUUAGAGAAGAUUAUGACGGUAUCUAACGAAUAAGCACCGGCUAACUCCGUGCCAGCAGCCGCGGUAAUACGGAGGGUGCAAGCGUUACUCGGAAUCACUGGGCGUAAAGAGUGCGUAGGCGGGGUARUAAGUCAGAUGUGAAAUCCUGUAGCUUAACUACAGAACUGCAUUUGAAACUGUUACUCUGGAGUGUGGGAGAGGUAGGUGGAAUUCU